CAGUAGCCGCGGUAAUACGUAGGGUGCGAGCGUUAAUCGGAAUUACUGGGCGUAAAGCGUGCGCAGGCGGUUCGUUAAGACAGAUGUGAAAUCCCCGGGCUUAACCUGGGAACUGCAUUUGUGACUGGCGAGCUAGAGUAUGGCAGAGGGGGGUAGAAUUCCACGUGUAGCAGUGAAAUGCGUAGAGAUGUGGAGGAAUACCGAUGGCGAAGGCAGCCCCCUGGGCCAAUACUGACGCUCAUGCACGAAAACGUGGGGAGCAAACAGGAUUAGAUACCCCGGUAGUCCCUGUCUCUUAUAC
rnacentral:rRNA from 1 species